CAGAACAAUCAGAAGUAAAAGAAGAACUAGAAUUUAAACGCCAUGCAGCUUUGGCUUCGUUGUUUGGAGAAUCGAGUUUGUGCUGCUAGAAGAGUUGUAAUGCAGUAGAGCUGCUGGCUUGGGUUUUCAGUUCAGAAGGGAAAUGAACUGAGUGUGUAGUGUGAAAGAUAAACGUUAUUUAUGUAUGUGAAGCGCUUUAGUUUAGAGACUGGCGUGUGGAAGCACUGCAGCUUUACUAGGCCAUGAAAUGCAUAGCUUUAAGACUCGAUGAUGAUGAUGAUGAUGAAGAAAGAAGUAAUCAGAAGACUGACCAUCCAGACUCUAUCGAGUGUCUCAUUCAGUCCCUCGAUUGCCUGAGAGGAGAAACUUCUGUGUCUCGGUGUCGGGCCUCACGAUCUGGUCGCACUUCCUUGAUGGGGGAACUUCGGUGAAAGGCUUGAUGGGUUUUCUCUAAUUUCUUUACCAUUCUGGUCUACUCAUUGAACCAAAAAAAACAACUUUGGAUAAAAACCAGGACAUCAGCCAAAUUAGCUUUAUUGUCCAGGUGCUGUAAUGCAGCAGUUCCUGACUGGGGACUGGACAAACUGCACAAGCCAUUUUUCCACUCUGCUAUUGCUGCUCCAUUACUACUUUUAUUUAUUUGUGUGUAUGUACAUAAUAUAGAAAUAAAAACAGCUGAUGCUA